rnacentral:misc_RNA from 1 species
UGGCAGACAACACCCUUCUGCUCUCUGCUUCAGUUCAGAGAAGAACAUUCUGCCUCUGAUCCUUGAAUUUUCUUAGAAUCAUCUCUCAUAUUUGUUGGACCUGCAGAAAAGCUGAAUUUCUUUCUUUGUUCCUCCUUAUUCUUUUAAAUUUCAGAAUUUUCUGUUAUCUUUUUUGACUUCCUAGUCUAAUCAAACUUUGCCAGACAAAAUCUCAGCCCAUCGUCUUUGAAUAUUUUCUCCAUCGAUUCUUGAACUAAUUUAAUGAAUACAGUCUUUUAAAAGCUCUCUCCAGUCCUGAUUACUUUCACUGCUGAUGCCAUUUUCUUUUGUUUUGCAAUUGAGUGUAGCUAACAAGUAAUUAGUAUGUGCUCAGAAACAAGCCCUCGAAUAUCAUUCUCCAGUGAUCUUGGCCAAGAAGAUGGCAUACAAAUCGAGCACGAGCCUCGAAGGGACACCACACUCCUGGAAUCAAAUUCUGAUUUCGAAUUCAGCAUUUGCAGCAACGUGUUAGACUAUGAAUCUUCUCUGGCAGAUGAGCUUUUCGCAGAUGGUAUGAUCCUUCCAGCCCAAGGACAGAGACAUGAACAUUCAAGAAAAGUUUCUCUUCCUUCUCUUCCAUGUCCUCCUCCAAGUGCUAAUGAGAGUUCAAAGAAAGAAAUAAUGGAAAUCAUGGUUUCGAAUUCAGGGUUAUUGGAAAAGCCUCAGUCCAAAUCAUUCUGGGGAUUCAAGAGAAGCAGCAGUCUGAAUUGUGAUAUAAAGAAGAGGCUAAUUUGCUCUUUACCACUCCUGUCGCGAAGCAAUUCGACAGGAUCAUCCGUGCCGUAUCCGAACCGAGCAAUGUUUAAAGAUGUGAACAAGCAAAAUUCCCAGAAGGAGCAAAGAUUAAAUUCCAAGGCAAAGAAGUUAUCAGCAUCAUCUGGUUCUACUUAUGUGUACACAUUUCCACAGAAGCCUCCAUUGAAGAAAAACUACGGUGGAUCUCAUGGAAAUGGUGUUAAGAUCAGUCCUGUGCUGAACGUGCCACCUCCUUACAUUACUAAAGGAGCUGCAAAUUUCUUUGGUUUGGGAUCCUUUUUGCGCAAUGGGAAAGAAAAGACCAGAAAAUGAUUGUUUAACUACUUGAUGAAAAUUUAGUGAUUUUAAAUUAUAUAUAGAUGAUGUGGG